rnacentral:misc_RNA from 1 species
AACGCACAUUGCGCCCGCCAGUACUCUGGCGGGCAUGCCUGUUCGAGCGUCAUUUCAACCCUCAAGCCCCCGGCUUGGUGUUGGGGCCCUGCGGCUGCCGCAGGCCCCGAAAUUGAGUGGCGGGCUCGCGGCGAACUCCGAGCGUAGUAGAAUCCUAUCUCGCUAGGGAGGCGCGGCGCGCUCCGGCCGUUAAAGGAACUUCUUUUAACCCAAGGUUGACCUCGGAUCAGGUAGGAAUACCCGCUGAACUUAA